rnacentral:rRNA from 1 species
AUACUCCCGAGAGACCGAUAGCGAACCAGUACUGUGAAGGAAAGGUGAAAAGCACUUCGAAUAGAAGAGUGAAAUAGUCCCUGAAACCGUGCGCCUACAAGCGGUCGGAGCAGCGUAAGUUGUGACGGCGUGCCUUUUGCAUAAUGAACCUACGAGUUACUUUUUCCGGCAAGGUUAAGCGUCUCAAGACGUGCAGCCGAAGCGAAAGCGAGUCUGAACAGGGCGUUAUAGUCGGAAGGAGUAGACGCGAAACCAAGUGAUCUACCCUUGGGCAGGUUGAAGGUUAGGUAACACUAACUGGAGGACCGAACCGAUAAGCGUUGAAAAGCUUCCGGAUGACCUGAGGGUGGGGGUGAAAGGCUAAUCAAACUUGGAGAUAGCUCGUACUCCCCGAAAUGCAUUUAGGUGCAGCCUUGCGGGUUACUGAUGUGAGGUAGAGCGACUGAUAAGAUGCGAGGGCUUCACCGCCUAUCAAGUCUUGACAAACUCCGAAUGCGUGUCAGUUCUAUGUCAGGAGUGAGGGCAUGGGUGCUAAGGUCCAUGUCCUAAAGGAGAACAAUCCGGACCAACAGCUAAGGUCCCGAAAUGAAUACUAAGUUGAACUAACGAAGUCAGAUUGCUAAGACAGCUAGGAUGUUGGCUUGGAAGCAGCCAUUCAUUUAAAGAGUGCGUAACAGCUCACUAGUCGAGGAGUUUGGCGUGGAUAAUAAUCGGGCAUUAAGUGUUUUACCGAAGCUAUGGGAUCAGUAAUGAUCGGUAGGGGAGCAUUCCACUCUGCGUCGAAGGUGAAGCGUGAGCUUUGCUGGAGCGUGUGGAAAAGCAAAUGUAGGUAUAAGUAACGAUAAAGGGGGUGAGAAACCCCCUCGCCGAAAGACUAAGGUUUCCUGAUCAACGCUAAUCGGAUCAGGGUUAGUCGGGUCCUAAGGCUCAGCCGAACGGUGAUGCCGAUGGCAGAACAGGUUAAUAUUCCUGUACUACCUUUAGGAGUGACGUGGAGACGGAGGCGUGACAGCGCCGCGAACUGACGGAAUAGUUCGUUGAAGGGUGUAGAUGUUGAUUGCGGCAGGCAAAUCCACCGCAAGAGUCGAACCUGAUAGUAUGGAGCGUUCUUCUGAACAAUCCAAUAGUGCGUGUAAACAUACUCCCAAGAAAAUCCGCUAAACUUAAUCUUAAAGGUACCCGUACCGUAAACGGACACACGUAGUCGGGUUGAAUAUACUAAGGCGCUUGAGUGAAUCACGGUUAAGGAACUAGGCAAAUUGACCCUGUAACUUCGGGAUAAAGGGUCCCCGUCAGUGAUGGCGGGGCGCAGAGAAUAGGUCCAGGCAACUGUUUAACAAAAACACAGGGCUGUGCAAAAUUGAAAGAUCACGUAUACAGCCUGACACCUGCCCGGUGCUGGAAGGUUAAGAGGAGAUGUCAUCGCAAGAGAAGCAUUGAAUUGAAGCCCCAGUAAACGGCGGCCGUAACUAUAACGGUCCUAAGGUAGCGAAAUUCCUUGUCGGGUAAGUUCCGACCUGCACGAAUGGUGUAAUGAUCUGGACGCUGUCUCAACCGUGAGCUCAGUGAAAUUGUAGUAUCGGUGAAGAUGCCGAUUACCCGCGAUGGGACGAAAAGACCCCGUGAACCUUUACUAUAGCUUAACAUUGAAUUUGGGUAAUUGAUGUGUAGGAUAGGCCGGAGACUUUGAAGCAGGUACGCCAGUAUUUGUGGAGUCGCUGUUGAAAUACGGCCCUUUGAUUAUUUGAGUUCUAACUCGUUGUUACGAGGACACUGUUUGGUGGGUAGUUUGACUGGGGUGGUCGCCUCCAAAAGUGUAACGGAGGCUUCUAAAGGUGCCCUCAGGACGAUUGGUAACCGUCCGUAGAGUGUAAUGGCAUAAGGGCGCUUGACUGGGAGACAGACAAGUCGAUCAGGUAGGAAACUAGAGCAUAGUGAUCC